rnacentral:rRNA from 1 species
AACGAACGCUGGCGGCGCGCCUAAUACAUGCAAGUCGAGCGAGAAGACGUAGCAAUACGUUUGUAGAGCGGCGAACGGGUGAGGAAUACAUGGGUAACCUACCCUCGAGUGGGGAAUAACUAGCCGAAAGGUUAGCUAAUACCGCGUACGCUCCUUGGACUUCGGUUCAGGGAGGAAAGCGAUACCGUGGGUAUCGCGCUCUUGGAUGGGCUCAUGUCCUAUCAGCUUGUUGGGAGGUAACGGCUCACCAAGGCUUCGACGGGUAGCUGGUCUGAGAGGACGAUCAGCCACACUGGCACUGCGACACGGGCCAGACUCCUACGGGAGGCAGCAGUAAGGAAUAUUGCGCAAUGGGCGAAAGCCUGACGCAGCGACGCCGCGUGGGGGAUGAGGGUCUUCGGAUUGUAAACCCCUUUCGGGAGGGAAGAUGGAACGAGCAAUCGUUCGGACGGUACCUCCAGAAGCAGCCACGGCUAACUUCGUGCCAGCCGCCGCCGUAAU